rnacentral:rRNA from 1 species
UACAGAGGGGGGCAAGCGUUAUUCGGAAUUAUUGGGCGUAAAGGGCGCGUAGGCGGCCUGGCAAGUGGAAGGUGAAAUCCCUCCGGCUUAACCGGAGGAACUGCCUCCCAAACUGCUUGGCUUGAGACCGGGAGAGGUGAGUGGAAUUCCCAGUGUAGCGGUGAAAUGCGUAGAUAGUUGGGAGGAACACCAGUGGCGAAGGCGGCUCACUGGACCGGUACUGACGCUGAUGCGCGAAAGCGUGGGGAGCAAACGGG